GGCGGAACAGGCGGGCGGGGCGCGGACCUCGGCUCCCGGAGCGCGGAGGGCCGGGUGGCUCUCCCGGGAUUGGGGUGUUCUCGCGCCCGGGGCUUGCGUCCCCCGCGCCCCCGCCAUGCGCCCACCUCGCCCCCGCGCCGCGCUGCUCGCGCUCCUGGCCGCGUCCCUUGCGGCCGCCGAGGCUCCGCACCUGGUGCGCGUGGACGCGGCCCGCGCGCUGCGUCCCCUGCAGCCCUUCUGGAGGAGCACCGGCUUCUGUCCCCCACUGCCGCACAGCCAGGCUGACCGGUAUGACCUCAGCUGGGACCAGCAGCUCAACCUGGCCUACGUGGGUGCCGUCCCUCAUGGUGGCAUCGAACAGGUUCGGACCCACUGGCUGCUGGACCUCAUCACGGCCAGGGGGUCAGCCAGGCGGGGCCUGAGCUACAACUUCACCCACCUGGACCGGUACCUGGACCUUCUCAGGGAGAACCAGCUCGUCCCAGGCUUUGAGCUGAUGGGCAGCCCCUCCGGACGCUUCACUGACUUUGAGGACAAGCGGCAGGUGUUCGAGUGGAAGGACCUGGUCUCGCUCCUGGCCAGGAGAUACAUCGGUAGGUACGGCCUCAAGCACGUUUCCAAGUGGAAUUUCGAGACGUGGAACGAGCCGGACCACCACGACUUUGACAACGUGUCCAUGACCUUGCAAGGCUUCUUGAACUACUACGACGCCUGCUCCGAGGGUCUGCGAGCCGCCAGCUCGGCUCUGCGCCUGGGCGGCCCCGGAGACUCCUGCCACCCGCUGCCGCGCUCCCCGCUCUGCUGGGGCCUCCUGGGGCACUGCCACAACGGCACCAACUUCUUCACCGGGGAGGUGGGCGUGAGGCUGGACUACAUCGCGCUCCACAAGAAGGGCGCCGGCAGCUCCAUCUACAUCCUGGAGCAGGAGGCGGCGGGCGUGCGGCAGAUACAGCGGCUCUUCCCCAGGUUCGCGGACACCCCCGUUUACAACGACGAGGCCGACCCGCUGGUGGGCUGGUCCCUGCCGCAGCCCUGGAGGGCCGACGUGACCUACGCUGCCAUGGUCGUGAAGGUCAUCGCACAGCACCAGAACCUGCUGGUGGCCAACGCCAGCUCCUCCGUGCGCUACGCGCUCCUAAGCAACGACAACGCCUUCCUGAGUUACCACCCGCACCCCUUCUCUCAGCGCACGCUCACCGCGCGCUUCCAGGUCAACGACACGCGCCCGCCGCACGUGCAGCUGCUGCGCAAGCCGGUGCUCACGGCGAUGGCCCUGCUGGCCCUGCUGGACGGCGAGCAGCUCUGGGCUGAGGUGUCGCGGGGCGGGACGGUGCUGGAUAGCAACCACACGGUGGGCGUCCUGGCCAGCGCCCACCCCCCCACGGGCCCCGCCGACGCCUGGCGCGCCACGGUGCUGGUCUACGCGAGCGACGACACCCGCGCCCACGCCAACCGCAGCGUACCCUUGACUCUGAGCCUGCACGGGGUGCCCCCGGGCCCGGAGGUCGUCUUUGUCCAGCUCUACAUGGACAACUGGCUCUGCAGCCCCUACGGCGAGUGGCGGCGCCUGGGCAGGCCCGUCUACCCCUCUGCUGAGCAGUUCCGGCGCAUGCGCGCGGCCGAGGACCCGGCGACCGUGGUGCCGCUCCCCUUUCCCAGCAGCGGCCGCCUGACGCUGCGCCCUGAGCUUCCUGUGCCCUCGCUCUGGCUGGUGCACGUGUGCGCGCGCCCCGAGGAGCCGCCGGGGCAGGUGACCCGGCUUCGUGCUCUGCCCUUGACCCGCGGGCAGCUGCUUUUGGUCUGGUCCGAUGAGCGUGUGGGCUCCAAGUGCGUGCCUGUGGACCUAUGAGAUCCAGUUCUCCCCGGAGGGUGUGGUGUACCUGCCCAUCAGCAGGAAGCCUUCGACCUUUAACCUCUUCGUGUUCAGCCCAGACACGGCUGUCGUCUCCGGCUCCUACCGGGUCCGUGCUGUGGACUACUGGGCCCGACCAGGCCCCUUCUCGAGCCCCGUGUGGUACCUGGGGGCCCCUGCCCCGUGAGGGCCCCUGCUGCCCCGCGACUGCACCUGUGCUGACCGUGAGCCUGGGCGGCCAGAAGCCGUGCUGGGCCGGACUGCCGUCAGCCUCUCAGCCAGUCGCCCCUCUGUUUGUCCCCUCCUGCCCCUCAUUCACCCCCUUAAAGUGCCUUUCCACGCACAGUAAUGGGGACGGCCUUCGUGGUGGGCACUGGGCAGACACGAGGCCCGGCUGGAGUGAGGCCAUCCCCGCCUCGCCCCACCCCCGCCUGUGGGAGCCUGGAUGGGACUCGGGUCAAGCGCAGACAGGUGUGAGUUGCCACUGGGGUGCCCGCUCCGCGCGCCUGGGGUCUCUGGCGUCACCGCUGGGCGCAGCAGGCCCCAUUCCCAGCCCCUGCGCCAGGAGGGCCCAGAGGGUUCCCACUUCCUGAGGCCCAGCCAGGCUGCCCACUGCACCCUGCCUGGCCCAGACUGUCCGCAGUGGCAGGGAAGGCCGGCAGUGUCCACUCCUGCGGUCAUCCGGGCUCCUUAUCUGGGCCCAGGAGGAAACAGCACGCCCAGACGAGGGCGACUUGGGGACUGUGGAUGGACAUGUGGACGGGGCCAGGGAAGCCACGAGGGGUGCUAUGGAGCCCUGGGGCUCCUCCCCAACCCCCCACGCCCACCCCAGGGCAGGUGGAGCCGACAGAGAACGGUGUGGCGAGGCCACGUGGCGAGGAGCAGGGGUGCAGCCAGUCUGGGGUGACGCAAGCAGGAGUGGGGGCCCCGACCCACCCUCCUCUCUCCGCUGCCCUCCGAGCUGCCUGGGCUCAGGGAUGGGGGGGCAGGCCUGGCAGGGCACAUGGAAGGCGAGGCCCAGUCACCCCCGGCUCCUGUCCGCAUGGAAAGGGCGGGGCGCCAGGGCCCACCAGCUGCCUCGUCCUGGGCUGGGGAUGUCAGCGUGAGCACUCUCCACCUGAACCCCAAAGCCAGCACCUGUCCCCAUUGCCCUUGGCCGCUGGGGGAGGCUUCAGGGCUUGGUGCCUGGGGCCCCGUUGGUACCAUACAAGGGGUGCUGGGGUGCCCGGUGGGCCCCCGGUUUCUGGGCAUUGUCUUCCUGCGUUGUCAGGAAGCUGUGCCUGGAUGUGGCUACGUGACCAAGCACCACGGCGGGCAGGUGGCCCACACGGCAGACGCUCAUCCUCUCACGUCCUGGAGGCCGCAGCCUGCGGGCAGGGGUUCCUCCUGAGGGCGCUCUCCUGGGCGUGCAGACGGCCACCUCCUCCCCGUGUCCUCACAUGGUCGUCCCUCUGUGUGUGUCUGUGUCCUAAUCUCCUCUUCUUAUAAGGACACCAGCCAUAUGGGAUUUGGGCCCACCCAUGUGACCUCAUUUUAAUCACCUCUUUAAAGGCUCCCUCUCCAAAUACUGUCACAUUCUGAGGUACUGGGGGUGAGAACGUCAGUGUGUGAAUUGGGGGGAUCCAGUUCAGUCGGUAACGAGCACCAACCCUAUUUCUCUGUGGCGGUAGGAAUGCAUCACCCUAGCGUUAAAGCAGCCUCUUCUUUUUGGGAUACGAGCUGCUAUAUAUAAAAUAUAAACAGGGGCUUCCCUGGUGGCGCAGUGGUUGAGAAUCUGCCUGCCAAUGCAGGGGACACGGGUUCGAGCCCUGGUCUGGGAAGAUCCCACA